UGUCGAGCUUGCUCACAGGCACAUCAUAUCCAUAACACCUGUGCACUUGUCGGAUGGCUUAGUGAAGACCGCAAGGUUGGAUCUAUCCAUCUACUUUACAUAACAAUUCUGUAACAAAUGUAGUCUUAUUAUAACAUAAUAAAACUUUCAACAACGGAUCUCUUGGCUCUCGCAUCGAUGAAGAACGCAGCGAAAUGCGAUAAGUAAUGUGAAUUGCAGAAUUCAGUGAAUCAUCGAAUCUUUGAACGCACCUUGCGCUCCUUGGUAUUCCGAGGAGCAUGCCUGUUUGAGUGUCAUGAAAACCCUCAACCCUAGAUUGGUUAAAACCUUUCUUUGGUUUGGAUUUGGACGUUUGCCGAUGAUAAGUCGGCUCGUCUUAAAAGUAAUAGCUGGAUCUGUCUCGCGACAUGGUUUGACUUGGCGUAAUAAGUAUUUCGCUAAGGACAUCUUCGGAUGGCCGCGUUGCAGGACUAAAGACCGCUUUCUAAUCCAUUGAUCUUACGAUUAAUAUUCUUGACAUCUGGCCUCAAAUCAGGUAGGACUACCCGCUGAACUUAAGCAUAUCAAUAAGCG
rnacentral:rRNA from 1 species